CCUACGGGAGGCAGCAGUGGGGAAUAUUGGACAAUGGGGGCAACCCUGAUCCAGCCAUGCCGCGUGUGUGAAGAAGGCCCUCGGGUUGUAAAGCACUUUCAGUGAGGAAGAACGCCUGGUGGUUAAUACCCAUCAGGAAAGACAUCACUCACAGAAGAAGCACCGGCUAACUCCGUGCCAGCAGCCGCGGUAAUACGGAGGGUGCGAGCGUUAAUCGGAAUUACUGGGCGUAAAGCGCGCGUAGGUGGCUUGAUAAGCCGGUUGUGAAAGCCCCGGGCUCAACCUGGGAACGGCAUCCGGAACUGUCAAGCUAGAGUGCAGGAGAGGAAGGUAGAAUUCCCGGUGUAGCGGUGCAAUGCGUAGAGAUCGGGAGGAAUACCAGUGGCGAAGGCGGCCUUCUGGACUGACACUGACACUGAGGUGCGAAAGCGUGGGUAGCAAACAGGAUUAGAUACCCCGGUAGUC
rnacentral:rRNA from 1 species